rnacentral:misc_RNA from 1 species
CUUAAUUCAGCAUUAGGACAACAAACUAAAUAGAACAAACAAUAGUUUGGCAAUUUUUACAACCCAAUUUACAAUUUAAUGAAUCAAAUAAAUGAGACUAAGCCGUCUCUUUUAAUGGGGACGAAAACAUGCAAAUUAAGUUCCAAGACAUAACACCCAUUUGUAACAAAUCAUAUAGCAGACUGAAAUUCAUGGGGAGAAUUCAGCUUCAAUUGAUUUCAAAAUUAACUUUCAUAUUUUGACUAAAUUUUAAAGAGAGAAUAUUCAAUUAAAUUUUACUGUUCAGAAUGAAUGAAAAAUGAAUUAAAUCAAUUUAGUUUCCUGUAUUACCCUUAUUUACAAGGGAAUGAAAGUCACAUACAGGACUUUAUUUGGUCCUUGAUAGUGAGCCCCACAUUUUUUUUUCCUAAUAACAGAAUAGAGUUCUUGAGUAAUCCAUGCUCCUUAGGUCAAAAUUCAGUUUUAUAUUCCUCAUUUUGUAUAACAUGUAAAUUAAAUUCUAAAAAUGAAAAGGCUACACAUUAGGGAGAAAAAUAAAAAUUAAGGGUACUAUAUAGGUAAAAGGAAUUACAUAUAGAAAGGAAAUCAACAUUGUCAUGCAUGGAAUGGCUGG